rnacentral:rRNA from 1 species
GCGGCGGAUUAGGUCGAUGGUAGGGUAACGGCCUACCACGCCCGCGAUCCGUACCGGCCAUGAGAGUGGGAGCCGGGAGAUGGAUACUGAGACAAAGAUCCAGGUUCUACGGAAUGCAGCAGGCGCGUAACCUUCGCAAUGCGCGAGAGCGUGACGAGGGAACCCCAAGUGCUAGCCCACGAGGUUAGCUUUUAAAGAGUGUAAACAGCUUUUAGAAUAAGGGCUGGGUAAGACCGGUGCCAGCCUCCGCGGUAAAACCGGCAGCCCGAGUGGUACUCGUUUUUAUUGGGCUUAAAGCGUCCGUAGUCGGUGCGGUCAGUCUCCUGUGAAAUCCACUUGAUAACAUGUGGGCGUGCAGGGGAUACUUCCGCACUUGGAGUCGGGAAGGGUCAGGGGUAUCUGAAGGGUAGCGGUGAAAUGUUAUAAUCCUUCAGAGACCACCGGUGAAGGCGCCUGACUGGAACGAGCUCGACGAUGAGGGACGAAAGCUAGGGUAGCGAACCGGAUUAGAUACCCGGGUAGUCCUAGCCGUAAACGAUGCGGACUGAGUGUUGCAAAAACCUCGUGUUUUUGCAGUGCUGAAGGGAAACUGUUAAGUCCGCCGCCUGGGGAGUACGGUCGCAAGGCUGAAACUUAAAGGAAUUGGCGGGGGAGCACCACAAGGCGUGGAGUCUGCGGUUUAAUUGGAUACAACGCCGGGCAACUCACCAGGGGCGACGGCAGAAUGAAGGUCAGGCCAAAGGUCUUACCUGACGAGCCGAGAGGUAGUGCAUGGCCGUCGUCAGCUCGUACCGUGAGGCGUGCGGUUAAGUCCGUUAACGAGCGAGACCCGUGCCCUUAUUUGCCAACGCUUCGGCUUGCCGGGGCGAGCACUCUAAGGGGACCGCUGGCGAUGAGUCAGAGGAAGGCGCGGGCAACGGUAGGUCUGUAUGCUCCGAAUCUCCUGGGCUACACGUGGACUACAAUGGCGUAAGCAACGGGUUGCAACACCGAAAGGUGAAAGCUAAUCCCUCAAAGUACGUCUAAGUUCGGAUCGAGGGUUGUAACUCACCCUCGUGAAGCUGAAAUGCCUAGUAAUCGCACGUCACCAUCGUGCGGUGAAUAUGUCCCCGCUCCUUGCACACACCGCCCGUCAAACCAACCGAGUGGAUUGGAGGCGAGGGGUCUUCCUUUGGGAGGCUUCAAGUCUUUGGUUCGCAAGGGGGGUUAAGUCGUAACAAGGUA